CCUACGGGAGGCAGCAGUGGGGAAUAUUGGGCAAUGGAGGAAACUCUGACCCAGCAACGCCGCGUGAAGGAUGAAGGUUUUCGGAUUGUAAACUUCUGUCGCGAGGGAUGAAGAAUGACGGUACCUCGUAAGAAAGCCCCGGCAAACUACGUGCCAGCAGCCGCGGUAAUACGUAGGGGGCGAGCGUUAUCCGGAUUUAUUGGGUUUAAAGGGUGCGUAGGCGGAAGGUUAAGUCAGCGGUCAAAUGUCGGUGCUCAACACCGGCCUGCCGUUGAAACUGGUCUUCUUGAGUGAGCGAGAAGUAUGCGGAAUGCGUGGUGUAGCGGUGAAAUGCAUAGAUAUCACGCAGAACUCCGAUUGCGAAGGCAGCAUACCGGCGCUCAACUGACGCUGAGGCACGAAAGCGUGGGGAUCGAACAGGAUUAGAUACCCGAGUAGUC
rnacentral:rRNA from 1 species